UACAGAGGUGGCAAGCGUUGUUCGGAAUUACUGGGCGUAAAGGGCGCGUAGGCGGUUCGAUAAGUCCCGUGUGAAAUCCCUCGGCUUAACCGGGGAACUGCGUCCGAUACUGGUUGGCUUGAGUUUGGGAGAGGGAUGCGGAAUUCCAGGUGUAGCGGUGAAAUGCGUAGAUAUUGGGAGGAACACCGGUGGCGAAGGCGGCCCCCUGGACCGGUACUGACGCUGAGGCGCGAAAGCGUGGGGAGCAAACGGG
rnacentral:rRNA from 1 species